rnacentral:rRNA from 1 species
GGCCAGACUCCUACGGGAGGCAGCAGUGGGGGAUAUUGCACAAUGGGGGGAACCCUGAUGCAGCGACGCCGCGUGGGUGAAGGAGCGUUUCGGCGCGUAAAGCCCUAUCGGCAGGGAAGAAGGAGGACGGUACCUGACUAAGAAGCCCCGGCUAACUACGUGCCAGCAGCCGCGGUAAUACGUAGGGGGCAAGCGUUAUCCGGAUUUACUGGGCGUAAAGGGGGCGCAGACGGCAGCGCAAGCCAGGAGUGAAAGCCCGGGGCCCAACCCCGGGACUGCUCUUGGAACUGCGCGGCUGGAGUGCAGGAGGGGCAGGCGGAAUUCCUGGUGUAGCGGUGAAAUGCGUAGAUAUACGGAGGAACACCAGUGGCGAAGGCGGAUUGCUGGACAGUAACUGACGUUGAGGCUCGAAAGCGUGGGGAGCAAACAGGAUUAGAUACCCCUGUAC